rnacentral:rRNA from 1 species
GAUGAACGCUGGCGGCGUGCCUAAUACAUGCAAGUCGAGCGAACAGACGAGGAGCUUGCUCCUCUGACGUUAGCGGCGGACGGGUGAGUAACACGUGGAUAACCUACCUAUAAGACUGGGAUAACUUCGGGAAACCGGCGAUAAUACCGGAUAAUAUAUUGAACCGCAUGGUUCAAUAGUGAAAGACGGUUUUGCUGUCACUUAUAGAUGGAUCCGCGCCGCAUUAGCUAGUUGGUAAGGUAACGGCUUACCAAGGCAACGAUGCGUAGCCGACCUGAGAGAGUGAUCGGCCACACUGGAGCUGAGACACGGUCCAGACUCCUACGGGAGGCAGCAGUAUGGAAUCUGCCGCAAUGGUCGAAAGCUUUGCGGAGCAACGCCGCGUGAGUGAUGAAGGUCUUCGGAUCGUAAAACUCUGUUAUUAGUGAAGAACAAAUGUGUAAGGAACUAUGCACGUCUUGACGGUACCCAAUCAGAAAGCCACGGCUAACUACGUG